rnacentral:misc_RNA from 1 species
UCCGGUUUGUCACCGGCAGUCCCAUUAGAGUGCUCAACUAAAUGUGGCAACUAUUGGCAAGGGUUGCGCUCGUUGCGCCACUUAAGGCAACACCUCACGACACGAGCUGACGACAGCCAUGCACCACCUGUACACCGACCACAAGGGGGGCCGUAUCUCUACGGCUUUCCGGUGUAUGUCAAGCCUUGGUAAGGUUCUUCGCGUUGCGUCGAAUUAAGCCACAUGCUCCGCUGCUUGUGCGGGCCCCCGUCAAUUCCUUUGAGUUUUAGCCUUGCGGCCGUACUCCCCAGGCGGGGAACUUAAUGCGUUAGCUGCGGCACUGAUAAGCAUGCUUACCAACGGCUAGCAUCCAUCGUUUACGGCGUGGACUAC